GAUUGAACGCUGGCGGCAGGCCUAACACAUGCAAGUCGAGCGGUAACAGGGGAGCUUGCUCCCGCUGACGAGCGGCGGACGGGUGAGUAAUGCCUAGGAAUCUGCCUGGUAGUGGGGGAUAACUCGGGGAAACUCGAGCUAAUACCGCAUACGUCCUACGGGAGAAAGUGGGGGAUCUUCGGACCUCACGCUAUCAGAUGAGCCUAGGUCGGAUUAGCUAGUUGGUGAGGUAAAGGCUCACCAAGGCYGCGAUCCGUAACUGGUCUGAGAGGAUGAUCAGUCACACUGGAACUGAGACACGGUCCAGACUCCUACGGGAGGCAGCAGUGGGGAAUAUUGGACAAUGGGCGAAAGCCUGAUCCAGCCAUGCCGCGUGUGUGAAGAAGGUCUUCGGAUUGUAAAGCACUUUAAGUUGGGAGGAAGGGUUGUAACCUAAUACGUUGCAGCUUUGACGUUACCGACAGAAUAAGCACCGGCUAACUUCGU
rnacentral:rRNA from 1 species